GUCUACAGCCAUGCCACCCUGAACGUGCCUGAUCUCGUCUGAUCUCGGAAGCUAAGCGGGGUCGGGCCUGGUUAGUACUUGGAUGGGAGACCAUUUAGGAAGACCAGGUGCUGUAGGCG
rnacentral:rRNA from 1 species